rnacentral:rRNA from 1 species
GACGAACGCUGGCGGCGUGCUUAACACAUGCAAGUCGAACGGAAAGGCCUCUCUUGGGGGGUACUCGCGUGGCGAACGGGUGAGUAACACGUGAGUAACCUGCCCUUGUCAUUGGGAUAACAUCUGGAAACUGGGGCUAUUACCGGAUAGGAGCUCCUGCUCCGUGGGGUGGGUUGGGAAGUGUCGGGGGGUGGGGGUGGACUCGCGGCUUAUCAGCCUGUUUGUGGGGUAGUGGCUUACCAAAGGGUUGACGGGUAUCCGGCCCUGGGGGGUGACCGGCCACAGUUGGACUGGGAUUCGGCCCCGGCCCCGACGGGGAGCAGCCGUGGGGGAUAUUUCCCCAUGGGUGGGAGCCUGAUUCAGCAACGCCGUGUGCGGGAUGACGGGCUUCGGGUUGUUAACCGCCUUCGCUCUUGACCGAGCCUUGUGUGACGGUAGUGGGUAAAGAAGCACCGGCUAACUACGUG